AUUGAACGCUGGCGGCAUGCUUUACACAUGCAAGUCGAACGGUAACAGGCCUUCGGGCGCUGACGAGUGGCGAACGGGUGAGUAAUGCAUCGGAACGUGCCCAGUCGUGGGGGAUAACGCAGCGAAAGCUGUGCUAAUACCGCAUACGAUCUGCGGAUGAAAGCGGGGGACCUUCGGGCCUCGCGCGAUUGGAGCGGCCGAUGUCAGAUUAGGUAGUUGGUGGGGUAAAGGCUCACCAAGCCAACGAUCUGUAGCUGGUCUGAGAGGACGACCAGCCACACUGGGACUGAGACACGGCCCAGACUCCUACGGGGGGCAGCAGUGGGGAAUUUUGGACAAUGGGCGCAAGCCUGAUCCAGCAAUGCCGCGUGCAGGAAGAAGGCCUACGGGUUGUAAACUGCUUUUGUACGGAGCGAAAAGGCUCCCUCUAAUACAGGGGGCUCAUGACGGUACCGUAAGAAUAAGCACCGGCUAACUACGUGCCAGCCGCCGCAGUAAAAC
rnacentral:rRNA from 1 species